rnacentral:rRNA from 1 species
GAUGAACGCUAGCGGCAGGCUUAACACAUGCAAGUCGAGGGGCAGCAUGAGACGGAGAUUCGUCAAAGUCUUGAUGGCGACCGGCGCAAGGGUGCGUAACGCGUGAGCAACUUGCCCGUUUCUGGGGAAUAACCGGUGGAAACGCCGACUAAUACCCCAUAGUAUGUCCGAGAGGCAUCUUUUGAGGUUGAAAGUUCCGGCGGUUAGAGAUGGACAUGCGUUGUAUUAGCUAGAUAGGUGAGGUAACGGCUCACCAUGGCGACGAUCAGUAGCCGGUCUGAGAGGAUGAACGGCCACAUUGGGACUGAGAUACGGCCCAGACUCCUACGGGAGGCAGCAGUGGGGAAUAUUGGGCAAUGGGCGAAAGCCUGACCCAGCAACGCCGCGUGAGGGAAGAAGGGUUUCGGCUCGGUAAACCUCUGUCCUAUGGACGAGAAGUGACGGUACCAUAGGAGGAAGCCCCGGNUAACUACGUG